UGAUGUUGGCUUUUGGAACAUUCCUUCCUCUGCAAUUUUUGAAAUGGUUUGAGAAGGAUAGGCAUUAACUCUCCUCUAAAUGUUUGGCAUAAAUCAUCUGUAAAACCAUCUGAUCCUGGACUUUUGU